AGAACGAACGCUGGCGGCAUGCCUAACACAUGCAAGUCGAACGAGACCUUCGGGUCUAGUGGCGCACGGGUGCGUAACGCGUGGGAAUCUACCCUUGGGUUCGGAAUAACAGUUGGAAACGACUGCUAAUACCGGAUGAUGACGUAAGCCCAAAGAUUUAUCGCCCAGGGAUGAGCCCGCGUAGGAUUAGCUAGUUCGUGAGGUAAAGGCUCACCAAGGCGACGAUCCUUAGCU
rnacentral:rRNA from 1 species